AGCCCCUGCCCCCCCGGGGUGGCAGAAGUAGGCGUGGCGACAAGUAGGCGUCCCAGCGCGGGAGUCAAAGUCUGGAUUUCCUCUGCUCUCCAGCUCAGCCCCAGAGGCGGCUUGCCAUAGGUGCUUUUCCAGGUUUCUGAACAUUUUCUGACUCCUAUGUUGGUAAAGCUCUGCUGGAAAAGGAAGGAGAAACUCAAGGCUCCUGCUUGCGGUGUUUAAUAGGUUUCGGGAUAUCUAAUUUUAGGUAUCAUACCCUAAAAGGAUAUGGACAAAAUAUGAUGGAAAGAAAAUAGUUUACUUGACAAAUGAAGGCCACUCAUUUGUAAAAAGAAGCCCAAGACAUAUGAACGGAGGUGAUUCUGAAUUUGGCCUGAAGGAGGUGGCAUGGAGCCCUCGCUGUCAGCCUCUCACCGGGUUAUUGAGUGCUCAUUUCAGAAGCUGUGGCAGCUAGUGAGAGUUUAUCAGGAUCGAGUUAUCAAGGCUGAUCUGGUCACUGGGCAGGCGAUGUGCCCAUUGAUCACAGAGCCUCAGUGAGCCCCAAAUGAAUUUCUCACGGAGGACAUGCUUUUUGUCGCUAUGGGGUAAAAUUUUCUCUCUUCUUAGUUUUUGGAGUAGACAGUUUGCAUGUCUCUCCUGCCACUUGGUGUUUCGGCAUCUUUUUAUUUAUGUUGAGUUUGUUAAACCUUUUGGAUUUGUAAAUUUCUAGUAAUUUGAAUUGUAAAAGUUCAGUUAUAAUGCUCUUUAUCUAUUUAACAUAGCCCUUUCUUGCCCCCCUUCCUUUCCCUCUCAUUUCCUCUCUCCUUCUAUCCCUCCCUCUCUUCCCUUUUUUCUUUCUUUCUUUCCUCUUGAAUUUCAAUUCCAUUUGUAUUUCCUUUAUUGUCCCGUAAGUCACUAAGUCCCUGCUCAUGCUGUCUGUGGAUCUUUCCCACUCUUCCUUUAUAUAGGCUAGCCUCUACUGCUGUGAAUUCAGUUCCCAUGGUUUUUCUUUUUCACAAUCAAAUGUACUUUUUAUUCACACAGUAUAUUGUUCAUUUUUAUAUGAUGUUGUUUGUACCUCUAGAAUUUCCAUUUGGGUCAUUUUUAAUCAUCUUUUUCCCUCUCAUCAUGUUUAUUUUACUCUAUAUCUGUGAGCAUAAAUGUCCUCGACUAUAUAAAGCGUAUACAUUUAGUUGUUGAAUUACUAUUUGGAGACAGUUGAAACCCUCGGUGUAUAAGUUAGCUUUCUGAGGCAGGAUCUUGUUAUAUAGUCUAGAUUGGCCUUUAAUUCACAAUUCUCCUGCCUCAGCUUCCCAAGUGCUUCGUUAUAGGUAUGUGCCGCCAUCCCCAGCUUUUUAAGCACAUCUAUAAGAUGAACACUAUCUCAUUAAAGGUUUUAACCUGUUGAUUUUCUCAUUA